rfam:Citrus clementina cultivar Clemenules unplaced genomic scaffold scaffold_2, whole genome shotgun sequence.
AUUUGAUGCUGAGGACAAUGGCACACAAUUGUUUGAAUCGCUCCCAAUACUCAUACAAAGUCUCCCCAGGAAGUUGUCUGAUCCCACAAAUAUCUUUUCUGAUGUU